rnacentral:rRNA from 1 species
UACAGAGGGGGCAAGCGUUGUUCGGAAUUACUGGGCGUAAAGGGCGCGUAGGCGGCCUGCUAAGUCGAACGUGAAAUCCCCGGGCUCAACCUGGGAAUUGCGAUGGAGACUGCAAGGCUAGAAUCUGGCAGAGGGGGGUAGAAUUCCACGUGUAGCAGUGAAAUGCGUAGAUAUGUGGAGGAACACCGAUGGCGAAGGCAGCCCCCUGGGUCAAAACUGACGCUCAUGCACGAAAGCGUGGGGAGCAAACAGG